GAUUAGUGGUGACUCCAAAUCUUAAAUCAUUUGAAUAAACCAAAGUUGAGAUUUGGUAGGGCUUAGGAGAGUCCGUAUUAUGUUAGUCAUUUAAUUAAUUUGAUAAUCCAUUAACGUAAAAUGAUCAACAUUAUUUU